rnacentral:rRNA from 1 species
GGCCUUGACAUACUAAGAACUUUCCAGAGAUGGAUUGGUGCCUCCGGGAACUUAGAUACAGGUGCUGCAUGGCUGUCGUCAGCCCGUGUCGUGAGAUGUUGGGUUAAGUCCCGNAACGAGCGCAACCCUUUUCCUUAUUUGCCAGCGGGUCAUGCCGGGAACUUUAAGGAUACUGCCAGUGACAAACUGGAGGAAGGCGGGGACGACGUCAAGUCAUCAUGGCCCUUACGGCCAGGGCUACACACGUGCUACAAUGGUCGGUACAAAGGGUUGCUACCUCGCGAGAGGAUGCUAAUCUCAAAAAGCCGAUCGUAGUCCGGAUCGCAGUCUGCAACUCGACUGCGUGAAGUCGGAAUCGCUAGUAAUCGCGGAUCAGAAUGCCGCGGUGAAUACGUUCCCGGGCCUUGUACACACCGCCCGUCACACCAUGGGAGUUUGUUGCACCAGAAGUAGGUAGUCUAACCGCAAGGAGGACGCUUACCACGGUGUGGCCGAUGACUGGGGUGAAGUCGUAACAAGGUAGGCGUAGAUGA